AAGUGCAUGUUAUCUAGUCAUAUAAAUCUAUUAAUUUAUAGUAUUAGACAGGCACUAAAAUUGUGCUCAAAAAAAGAAUAGAUUGUGAAAUUGGUCUGCACCAAAAAAAUGAGGUAAAUCACUCUGUAAUUUUGAAAUUCUUUAACUUGUUUCAUUCAGGGAGUCUUUAUUUCUUAGUGUAGUUUAUUUAUAUCCCAGUGCAGUCUUGUUGCCAGUACAGCAAGUAAAGAAAGAAACCUCAUAUUGGUUGCCAAAUCCCCUUUGAUAAACUCAAAUGUCUGAUAGUUAUACCAGAACUCUAUUUUGAUCCCACCCAGAACUGUAUUUCUAUUGUUGUAACAUGGGCAUUAGAAAAUGCCUCAGGGUCACAUUCUUGAUCUUAUUUCAUGUGUACAUUUUCAUCCAGUGGCCCAAAACUCUUGCCUGUGAAUCCAUCAUUUCACUUGAUGUGAAAAACUGUGAUGGUGGCACACUGGUUAACACUGGUGGCUUACAGAUCUGGUGACCUGGGCUUGAAAUCUAUUUUGUUUUGUUGUCCAUAUGGGGUCUGCACAUUCUCCCCUUGACUGUGUGGUGUUUCCUUCAGGUACUCUUGUUUCCUUAUCAUGUAAUUACGGUUAUCUGUCAAAUCUAAAUUGGUCCGGUAUGUGAGUAGGGUUGUGUGCAUGAAUGGACCCUAUUCUGGACUAACACCACAUCCUUCCUUAAAUUCAGUGCUGCACAGAGAGGCUCCUACCCCACAAUCCUGAAAUGGAUUAACUGCGUUAGGGAAUGUUAUGUAAUAUUUAGUAUACUCAACGUUUGGUGUCUUUCAUUCAGAAUUAUUGAUAGUUGAAUAGAUCAGCAACUGGUAUGUCUUAGCAAUGCUCAUUUCACAACCCUGCUCAAUUCAACUGUGCCUCACCUGAACUAUAAAAUGUACUGUAGUAUAUAAUGGACUUACACAAAGCUGAGCUAAAUAUUAACAGAGUCUACGGACUUUUAUAUGAUGAACAUGUUAUAAAUUAUUUCUGGCAGUUGAAUUGCUUCAGUUUUGCUUGAUUGUUUGAUGGCAAUCUAUUUUUAUCAAUGUGUAGCUGACAUUUAUAAAAUAUGAAGUAAUUUUUAAAUCAACUAAAGAUGUCUAUCUGUUUUAAAGUUUUGCUUUAUCUUUUGUGUUAUAGGUUAUCAGAUACCAUUGCAAAUAUUUCAAGUUUCAUCAUUUUUAGUUGUCUCAGUGGUUAGCACUGAUGACUCACAGAGCCAGUGUCCAGGGUGCAUGUUCGGCACUAACUUCUGAACUGAGUUUGCAUGUUCUCCCCAUGUCUACACGAGGUGUUCUUCAGAAACUUCAGUUUUCCUUCCACAUUGUGCAGACAUGCAGGUUAGAAUGCUUCAGGAUUCUUUACUGGCUCCAUGCGAGUCUGGAUGUGUGUACGAGUGGGUCCUAUGAAGGGAUGGCACCCCAUGGGUUUGAGAAUGUGAUGUUAUAUUUCAAUAACCUGCGAUCAUUUGGACAUGCUUAGAAUUUAUUAUAGAUCUUAAUGUUUAAUCAUUUAUCAUUUGGGAAAUAUUAAACUUAUUUUUGAUUUUUUUUUUUACUGUUUAUAUGGAAGAAGAGUCAAUGUCCAUGGUUUACUUUCAAACAAAUGGUAUGAUGAGUCCAAACAAAAGUUAUUAUUUAAAAACUAACUGACAGUAAAAAUCUUUGAAAGAAAUCAUUAUUUCAUGAGGUAUUUUAUCUAAACUGUGUAUAAUGUAAAAUCCUGUAUAUAAUGUUGAAACUUUGUUUUUUUUUUUGUUUUUUUUUUAUCAGUGAGAUCGUCUUUUCUGUAUAUUUUGUUUUUGUGAACCCUUAAAUGCACCUUAAUUUUCUGCCAUCUUUUGUUGUUACAAUUUAUUUAAUGUAUGUUUUGCUUCUUCUGUGUUGUAUUUUAGUUUGGGUUGUGGUUCUUUCAGUUAUUGAGUGUUCCUUUAAGUAGAUAUUCCAAUCUAUGCUACAGUUUAAAGACAUUUUAAACCUGGAAUAUAAAUAUUUAUAACUGCAGAUUAAUGUCAUAUGAUAGAUUAAUACAGUAAAUACAUUUUC